CCUUAAUGUGAAGCGACCAACAACAUUUGAAGAUCUGCUUGCAUCUUAGAAGCUGCGGCCCGACUGAUGAUAAGCAAAGACCGCAUUUACAGAUAAUAACCUGGCGUGUACUUGCAAACCAGGAGCCACAGGAGCUGCUGUCCUGAUGGCCAAAAAGCUGCUUUGUGGAGUUGCAACGCAUCCUUUGAGACGGGGGUUUGGCCGAUACCCCUGGCUACGCCCAGCUGUCAAUCACGUACAAUGUUGAAAGAUUCCCAGUAACACUGAUGGUCCUCCACGUGCUCCUUUCUCCAAAACCCACCGCCACCUCUAUUUUUGUCCAAAAAUGUCCCAACGGGAGGCUCAGCGACUUCACUCGGCUCCAGGUUCGAGGCCCCCAGCAGAAGAUGCAUACUAAGAAGUCGCCCAGACUCAUGAUCGCAUUUCUGUGACCACCUGUGCGUGGAAUGUGCCGGAACAUGGUGACCGUGGUUUUGAUUUCCACACACGCCAGUCUGCUCUCUGCACUGAACACGUGUAAUGAGCCCAGGGUGAAGCAGACACUUAUUUGCCCAGCUAUGUCUAGUCCCGCCAUGGAAAUUCAGGCCCCCGCCUCUCUCCCGCUGUCUUAUCUCCUUCCAGUCCCCCGGCUGUAAUUGUCGAGGAGCCGAGCGCUCGCGCUGUCAUUGCGGCGCGAGCGGCUCUCGCCUUAAAGAAAUCACCUGACAUUUUUAUUGAGUGGAGAGCACGGGAGUCGAUCCCUAACCUGGUUUAUCGCCGCUUCAGCAGGAGAAACACAGAUCCCAUCGGAGCUUAAAAAACACGACCGCUGGCAGGGAGCGGCCACGCCGGGGCCGCCGAAGAGAAAGGCUUCGGAAAGGCGACGAAUGUAGAAGAGCCCGUCUUCCGCACGCGGUGAAGAAUCCCGCCGUUGCUUUCAAGAUGACGGAUCCCUCGUCUUUGCUUCGGCAACCCCGCGCCACCAUGGUCUUGCGCUGCUCCGACUCAGACAGCAGAAUAAGUCAUUAGAGUCGAUGGAAUUUAAGACCCAAUAGAAAUGAUUUAACGUUGAUGAAGGGGGACCGACGCAGGUUCGGCAAAGCCUGUCCACCAGGUGCGUGCGGAACAUGAGAUCCGGGCCCAUUAAACCGAGCCGCUCUACGCAACGUGGUGCGACGGCCCUCCGCGCGACCUCGGCCGGUCAGGCUCGGUGACACGUGCCCUUCCGCAUGACCUUGGAAGGCGCUCCGGGGGAAACGCGAGUUCAGCGGCGCAGCGGAAAUAACGUGGAGCCGUAACUACGUAUCGGGGUGCGCGUCAACGUAAAA